rnacentral:rRNA from 2 species
UACGGAGGGUGCAAGCGUUGUUCGGAAUUACUGGGCGUAAAGAGCGUGUAGGCGGUUGAUUAAGUCAGGCGUGAAAGUCCUUGGCUCAACCAAGGAAGUGCACCUGAAACUGGUCAACUUGAGUACGGGAGAGGAGAGUGGAAUUCCUGGUGUAGAGGUGAAAUUCGUAGAUAUCAGGAGGAACACCGGUGGCGAAGGCGACUCUCUGGACCGAUACUGACGCUGAGACGCGAAAGCGUGGGGAGCAAAC